GAUUAUGGCUCAGAACGAACGCUGGUGGCGUGUCUUAUACAUGCAAGUCGAGCGAGGCAGCAAUGCCGAGCGGCGAACGGGUGAGUAACGCGUAAGCAAUCUGCCCCAUAUCAGGAAAUACCCGUGCCAACGCGCGGUUAAUGUCCAGGAGAGUGGCUCCUUGCAUGAGGAGUUGACUAGAGAUUUAUCGGUAUGGGAUGAGCUUGCGUCCGAUUAGCUAGUUGGCGGGGCAACGGCCCACCAAGGCGACGAUCGGUAGCCGGCCUGAGAGGGUGAUCGGCCACAUUGGGACUGAGAUACGGCCCAGACUCCUACGGGAGGCAGCAGUAGGGAAUAUUGCACAAUGGGGGAAACCCUGAUGCAGCAACGCCAACCGUGUGGGAAGAAGCAUUUCGGUGUGUAAACCACUGUCAUGAGGGAAUAAGGCCCGCCUCCGGGCGGGAUUGAAUGUACCUUGAGAGGAAGCACCGGCAAACUUCGUGCCAGCCGCGGC
rnacentral:rRNA from 1 species